rnacentral:rRNA from 1 species
AUACGGAGGACGCGAGCGUUAUCCGGAUUCAUUGGGUUUAAAGGGUGCGCAGGCGGCCGUGCAAGUCAGCGGUGAAAGCCCGGGGCUCAACCCCGGAAGUGCCGUUGAUACUGCAUGGCUGGAAUGCGGUCGAGGCGGGCGGAACGUGGCGGGUAGGGGUGAAAUGCGUAGAUAUGCCACAGAACGCCGAUAGCGGAGGCAGCUCGCCAGGUUGCAUUGACGCUCGGGCACGAAAGCGUGGGGAUCGAACAGGAUUAGAUACCCUGGUAGUCCACGCCGUAAACGAUGGGCGCUCGUCGUCGGCGGCAGACAGUCGGCGGCCAAGCGAAAGCGAUAAGCGCCCCACCUGGGGAGUACGGUCGCAAGGCUGAAACUCAAAUGAAUUGACGGGG